rnacentral:rRNA from 1 species
CCUCUGACGUGGGUGCGGAGAAGAGCAGUCGAUUGAAAGUGUCUGUUGCGCAAGCAGACGUUGAGGCCACGGCCAAGACGGAUUCUUUAAAGCAAACACCAAGAAAACCUCUCGUUUGUUCCCAAGGUCGCCCGUACCGUAAACCGACACAGGUGGGUGGGUAGAGUAUACCCAGGCGCGUGAGUGAAACCUCGUUAAGGAACUCGGCAAUCUAGCCCCGUAACUUCGGAAGAAGGGGUGCCAGUCGCAAGACUGGCCGCAGUGAAAGGGGUCAACCGACUGUUUAACAAAAACACAGCACUCUGCCAAGUCGCAAGACUACGUAUAGGGUGUGACACGUGACCAAUGCGGAAAGAUUACGGUAAGUGGUUAGCCGCAAGGCGAAGCUACGAGCCCAAGUCCCCGUGAAUGUCGGCCGUAACUAUAACGGUCCUAAGGUAGCGAAAUUCCUUGUCGGGUAAGUUCCGACCUGCACGAAUCGUGUAACGAGUUGACCGCUGUCUCAACGAGGAGCUCAGCGAAGUUGUAGUGGCGGUGAAGAUGCCGCCUACCCGCAGCAGGACGGAAAGACCCUAUGCACCUUUACUGUACGCUGUUACUGUUUUUUCGGUUUUAAUGCUUAGCGUAAGUGGUAGACUUUGAUUUCGCUCUUUCGGGGGCGAAUGAGUCGUCAAUGAAACACCACCCUUUGGAACUGGAAAAUCUAACCUCUCGCCAAGAUCUGGCAGAGGGACACUGGCAGCCGGUCAGUUUUACUGGGGCGGUAUCCUCCCAAAGAGUAACGGAGGAGUACGAAGGUUGGCUCAACCUGGUUGGUAAUCAGGUGACGAGUAUAUGGAUAUAAGCCAGCCUAACUGUGAGACCUACAAGUCGAGCAGGUGCGAAAGCAGGUCCAAGUGAUCCGGUGGUUGAAUGUGGAAUUGCCAUCGCUCAACGGACAAAAGGUACGCUAGGGAUAACAGGCUGAUCGAGUCCAAGAGCUCAUAUCGACGACUCGGUUUGGCACCUCGAUGUCGGCUCAUCACAUCCUGGGGCUGGAGAAGGUCCCAAGGGUCCGGCUGUUCGCCGGUUAAAGUGGUACGCGAGCUGGGUUCAGAACGUCGCGAGACAGUUCGGUCCUUAUCCGCUGUGGGCGCAGGAAGAGUGAGGGGUUCACACAUUAGUACGAGAGGACCGGGUGUGACGAACCACUGGUGUUCCAGUUGUCCUGUCAAGGGCAGUGCUGGGUAGCUAUGUUCGGAAAGGAUAAGCGCUGAAAGCAUCUAAGCGCCAAGCCUCUCCCAAGAUGACUCUUCCCCGAAGGAUCGUGGCAGACCACCACGUUGAUAGGAUUCCGGUGUAAGCGUAGUAAUACGUUCAGCUGAGAAUUACUAAUAAUCCGUUCGGCUUGGUCAA